GUGAGGAAUAUUGCGCAAUGGAGGCAACUCUGACGCAGCCAUGCCGCGUGCAGGAAGAAGGCGCUACGCGUUGUAAACUGCUUUUAACCGGGAAGAAACCCCAGGACGUGUCCUGGGUUGACGGUACCGGAGGAAUAAGCACCGGCUAACUUCGUGCCAGCAGCCACGGUAAUACGAAGGGUGCAAGCGUUAUCCGGAUUCAUUGGGUUUAAAGGGUGCGUAGGCGGAGCGUUAAGUCAGUGGUGAAAUCCUGCAGCUUAACUGUAGACUUGCCAUUGAUACUGGCGCUCUUGAGUGCGCUUGAAGUGGGCGGAAUGUGCCGUGUAGCGGUGAAAUGCUUAGAUAUGGCACAGAACACCAAUUGCGAAGGCAGCUCACUAAGGCGAUACUGACGCUGAGGCACGAAAGCGUGGGGAUCGAACAGGAUUAGAAACCCGUGUAGUCC
rnacentral:rRNA from 1 species